UGUGUGUGUGUGUACGCGCGCGCGCACCUAGGCAGUUGGCUCAUUCAUUAUCAAAUUAAAUCACACCCUCUAUGGAGAUGAAAAGCUGUUAUUAUUUGUUGCCGCUACGCCGAAAUAUCAUCUGGCGCCUUAGAGUCCAGCCAUAAAAAUCAAUAGUGCUGGCAGAAUCCCAUCCCAGCAAGGGCGCCACCAAGUGAGGGAACGCGCGUAGGUCAAGCAUACUAUUGAGGAAUGCAUUGCCAUCUUCGUGAGAGCUUCGGUUGUAGCUGCACUUGCUCCAGUAACAGGAUUAAAACAUUGCUACAAACUUUCACGCUUGGAAACUACAUAUGUAGAGAAGAUCACUGGCAAAUCACUGGUUGGACACAGGCACAUAUGAGGUAGCCAAGAUGUUCAAGGAAGUAUCCCAGGGCACCGCUUUUAUUAUGAGGAUGGUGGAAACCCUCAAGGCUUACAUUGGUGAGACACAGACAGACAGAUGGACAGGAAGACAGUGAACAGACACAAAACAUAAGCCAAGAAGCUGUGACUUUGCAACUUGAUGGGAGUGAAAGGCUGACUGUCCAUUGCAAGUAUAAUGUGUGUGAUUACUCCAAGGGAUCAAAAAUUCUAUACUUCAUACUCUGAGGGA